GUGCCAGCCGCCGCGGUAAUACGGAGGGUGCAAGCGUUAAUCGGAAUUACUGGGCGUAAAGCGCGCGUAGGUGGUUUGGUAAGCGAGAUGUGAAAGCCCCGGGCUUAACCUGGGAACGGCAUUUCGAACUGUCAGGCUAGAGUAUGGUAGAGGGUAGUGGAAUUUCCUGUGUAGCGGUGAAAUGCGUAGAUAUAGGAAGGAACACCAGUGGCGAAGGCGGCUACCUGGACCAAUACUGACACUGAGGUGCGAAAGCGGGGGGAGCGAACAGGAUUAGAUACCCCAGUAGUCC
rnacentral:rRNA from 1 species